rnacentral:lncRNA from 1 species
GGAUCGACUACAUAGUAUAUUCCAUCAAUGGUAAGCGAUGUCUCAGCAAUGUUAGUGGCAAUAACAACCUUUCUGCUUCCUGGUGGGGCUGGGUCAAAGAUCCUGGUUUGCAUUUCACUGGGUAAGGCUGAAUAUACUGGGAGGAUAAUCAGCUCUGGAACAUCAGGUCCUAGAGAUUUCAUCCUUUCAUAAAGGAUCUCACAGGCUGUGUCAAUCUCCUCCUGGCCAGUUAGAAAC